rnacentral:rRNA from 1 species
UAAAGAAUUUCGGUUAUCGAUGGGGAUGCGUUCCAUUAGUUAGUUGGCGGGGUAACGGCCCACCAAGACGACGAUGGAUAGGGGUUCUGAGAGGAAGGUCCCCCACAUUGGAACUGAGACACGGUCCAAACUCCUACGGGAGGCAGCAGUGAGGAAUAUUGGUCAAUGGACGAGAGUCUGAACCAGCCAAGUAGCGUGAAGGAUGACUGCCCUAUGGGUUGUAAACUUCUUUUAUAUGGGAAUAAAACAGGGUAUGCAUACCCUCUUGUAUGUACCAUAUGAAUAAGGAUCGGCUAACUCCGUGCCAGCAGCCGCGGUAAUACGGAGGAUCCGAGCGUUAUCCGGAUUUAUUGGGUUUAAAGGGAGCGUAGGUGGAUUGUUAAGUCAGUUGUGAAAGUUUGCGGCUCAACCGUAAAAUUGCAGUUGAAACUGGCAGUCUUGAGUACAGUAGAGGUGGGCGGAAUUCGUGGUGUAGCGGUGAAAUGCUUAGAUAUCACGAAGAACUCCGAUUGCGAAGGCAGCUCACUGGACUGCAACUGACACUGAUGCUCGAAAGUGUGGGUAUCAAACAGGAUUAGAUACCCUGGUAGUCCACACAGUAAACGAUGAAUACUCGCUGUUUGCGAUA